UCGCCAGCAGCUAGCAGCACUUACUAGUAGGAGGGCCCACCGGAGGAGAGCCGCGCGGCCCACGGAAGCGGAACGCGCGUCGAGCGCGCCCUGCCCGCUCGCCCCAGACAGAUGCCCAGUUAUUCAUUACCCCGAGGCCUAGAGGAGCGAAUGGCUGCCGUAUUCCUGCCCAGAGCCAGCCGGAUCCUCCGUCGCGGCUGCCCGGUCCCCGGAGCCGCAGCCGCCGAGCCCGGCUGUGCGUGUCGUGGCUGCUGGGGAGAAAGGCGUCCGGAAACCCCAGAGAGAUUGGUGAUGGUGAUUUCCCAGGAAGACAUGGUGUGCUCUGACUUCUGUGACAGUGAACAACGGGACCAAUGGAUGUCCAGAUGCUGGCAAUGAGACAUGCUCUGGAGUCAGAAGACAGCAAAAAGAGAAGCAGAAGCCCUGGUGGCAGGAGUCCAAAGCAGGAAGGAAUCACUGUAACCUGUGGAUUGUACUGCAGUAGGAAACUAUCCUAGCAAGGCUCCACUUUGCCCCAGCUUCAAGCUGGAAAGGAGGAGAACAUGAAACGUUGCUUGAAGACAAUGGCCGAGACAGCAGGUCCCACCCUGCACAGCCGCCAACAUCUCUUCCCUCAGCCUUGUCUCCUCUUCUGCAGUUGGGAUCUGCACAUUUAGGCCUGAAAUUGUCCUAUGAAGUGAAGUAUGAUCGGACAACCUCUUUUCAGCUUUUAUGAAAAUGGAGACAGAGGAACUGUGGCUCUUGCCAAGGUCACAGGAUUGGAACACAGAGCCAAGCCACCCCAGGACAUGCAAGAGCCUCAGAAGGGAAAAAGCCCAGCAGGAAGGGAGAACAAGUAGCCUCUGUUCUGAGGUUGUAACAGCCAGGGACCAGGAUGGAGGAAGAGGACCCCGUAAUCCUGCCUAUCUGGGACUUGGCAGGGGACCUGGGAAAAUGUACCCCAACCCAUCCCUCAAGGGCCUUUGCCUUUGGCCCAUUGGCCUAGCAUCUCCUUCUUCACUAUGUCUGUUCUUGUCAGAUCUGUUUGGGUCUGAGGUGCAUGGAACAUUCUGGGUAGGCCUCCAGCAAACGGAAGCUCUUCACCGUGUUUCCAGCCUAGGACCAAGGGCAGCACACUGGCAAAGUUGCCAAAGCAAGGGACUCCAGCCUUCUAGGAGUUAAUGACUCCCUCUCCCCAGCUGUCCUCCCCUUGGUGCUCCUCUUCCUCCCUCCUCCUGCUCACAGCAGGCAGGGCCUGGACCCGGGAGCCAUGCUGCUGUGCUGUUGCCAGGGGAGCCCGGAGGCAGAUCUGAGCUAUGCAGGGAAAAGGCCCGGCCUGUCAAAGUGUCUGAGAUGAACCGCCGCCGUCCCUGUGCAGCUGGGCUCAGACGUGUCUCAGCUCUUGUUCUGUGCCUGAGAAUGGCGAAACCCAGUGAGGUUCAAGGGCAAACUCUAUUCAUUAGUCAGGGGUUCUUGACGUCCCGUCUCUCCCAGGGAUGGGUUCCCCCCCUUCCUCUUUCUCCCCCUCCUAUGACACAUUCCUGGGUGCCUUUGGUGAGGACUACACACCCUCCUCCUGCCUAGCCCCCUUUCCAAAGGCCCCUGAAUAAACUCCCCGCAAGGAGACCAGGCAGGGCAGAGACAAUGGCUGCAGGAAAUCAUUCAGGCGGGACAUGCUGGCCUGCCCUCCACCCAGUCCCCCUGUGGGCCCCACUCCCUUCUGAUUCAGGGCACCCUUGGGCCCCUAGCCUAUAGAGGCCUGGAUAGGAAGAAACCACCGGGAACAACCCUAAGGACAUGUUAGUCCAGUGCCAUUCUCCGCUGGCUCUGUGGGUGCCUUUGUGGCCUGCACCAACUGGCAGGCUAAUUUUGUGGUUUCUGUACCAUCACGUGCCUAUUUUAAGACACUCUCAAGCACUGUCAGUUGGGGAGUGUAAAUUCUACAGUAUUUUCUGAAAUGUGGCAAUAUCAAAAUGUAAAAGGCAAAUAUACUUGGUCACAAAAAUGACACUAUUUACUCUGUGGGCAUAUUUGUAAAAGUUCCCAAAGAAUUACAUACAAGGAUGUUCAUCAGAGCAUUUCUUUUGAAGAGUGUAAAGCAAUGGACAUG